rnacentral:tRNA from 1 species
GCGGAGAUGGCGGAAUUGGCAGACGCACUAGCUUGAGGUGCUAGCGGGUAACAGCGUGGGGGUUCCAGUCCCCCUCUCCGCA